GUUAAAGCUUUGAAGAGAAAGAGUAGAGUUAAUAGAGUUAUAAAGAGAGGUCCUGGUUGGUGAAAAGGGAAUGACAAAUUAAUUUGAAUACGUCUCUGAGCAGCACUCCGAAAGAUUACAACCAGUAGGCAGAUGUCGGAUUCGCACCUGUUAUAGUGCUAGGGUAUAACCAUAUUUUUGGCGUACCUGAAGAGGUUGUUAAUGUGAGUUAACAAUGAAAUUAGGUGGUAACACGUGAGUUUUAUGCUCUCGUCCUUUUA
rnacentral:ncRNA from 1 species